rnacentral:rRNA from 1 species
GAUGAACGCUGGCGGCGUGCCUAAUACAUGCAAGUCGAACGGACAGGUCCUGAUCUUGCUGCUCGCUCGUUUGCCGAACGCGUGAGUAACACGCGUGUAUCCCCUACCUGUCAUUCGGAUAUAUCUACGAAAAACGGGAUCAUAUCGCAUAGGAGAUAUUGAACCACGGUGGUGGAUGGUAAGUUUCGGCGGUGCGGGCUCGUCUCGCGGCUUCCCCGCUUGAUGGUCUGGUAGUGGCUUUCCAAGCCUGCGACGGCUAGCCGGCCUGAGAGGCGGACCGGCCACAAGGGGACUGAGAUACGGCGCAGACGCCUACGGGAGGCAGCAGUGGAGAAUAUUGCACAGUGGGCGGGAGCCUGAUGCAGAGACGCCGCGUGCGGGAUGACGUCCUUCGGGGUGUAAACCGCUGUCGCCUGUGACGAAGCGUGAGUGACGGUAAUGGGUAAAGAAGCACCGGCUAACUACGUG